GAUCCUGGCUCAGAGCGAACGCUGGCGGCAGGCCUAACACAUGCAAGUCGAACGCCCCUUCGGGGGAGUGGCGGACGGGUGAGUAACGCGUGGGAACGUGCCCUUUGGUACGGAACAACUGAGGGAAACUUCAGCUAAUACCGUAUGUGCCCCCAUUCUUAGCGGGAUGGGUGGGAAAGAUUUAUCGCCAUUGGAGCGGCCCGCGUUAGAUUAGCUAGUUGGUAGGGUAAUGGCCUACCAAGGCGACGAUCUAUAGCUGGUCUGAGAGGAUGACCAGCCACACUGGGACUGAGACACGGCCCAGACUCCUACGGGAGGCAGCAGUGGGGAAUCUUGCGCAAUGGGCGAAAGCCUGACGCAGCCAUGCCGCGUGAAUGAUGAAGGUCUUAGGAUUGUAAAAUUCUUUCACCGGGGACGAUAAUGACGGUACCCGGAGAAGAAGCCCCGGCUAACUUCGUG
rnacentral:rRNA from 1 species